rnacentral:other from 1 species
AUAUAAUAAAGAUAUUCCAAGGAGCAAGGUCCAAAUUUAAACCUACAUCAUUUAUAAGGGAUUGCGGAGUUUUGACUUUGAUGGCAAGCCUCCUGUGAGUGGAAGUCAGAAAUUUCAAACAGCAAACCCACCUUCACGAACGCGAAGGUAUUAAAUAUAAGGGCCACCUUGGAUUUUUUUUAUUAAUGU